GCAGUCGCCGCGGUAAUACGUAGGUGGCAAGCGUUGUCCGGAAUUAUUGGGCGUAAAGGGCUCGCAGGCGGUUUCUUAAGUCUGAUGUGAAAGCCCCCGGCUCAACCGGGGAGGGUCAUUGGAAACUGGGAAACUUGAGUGCAGAAGAGGAGAGUGGAAUUCCACGUGUAGCGGUGAAAUGCGUAGAGAUGUGGAGGAACACCAGUGGCGAAGGCGACUCUCUGGUCUGUAACUGACGCUGAGGAGCGAAAGCGUGGGGAGCGAACAGGAUUAGAUACCCCAGUAGUCCCUGUCUCUUAUAC
rnacentral:rRNA from 1 species